GUAGGGAAUAUUGCACAAUGGGGGAAACCAUGAUGCAGCGACGCCGCGUGAGUGAUGAAGGCCUUCGGGUCGUAACGCUCUGUCGUAUGGGACUAACACAAUGAAGGUACCAUGCAAGAAAGGAUCGGCUAACUUCGUGCCAGCAGCCGCGGUAAGACGAGGGAUCCUAGCGUUGUUCGGAAUCAUUGGGCGUAAAGCGGGUGUAGGCGGAUUUAUAAGUCAGGUGUGAAAUCCCAGGGCUAAACCAUGGAAGUGCACUUGAUACUGUAAAUCUUGAGUGUGGUAUAGGUUACUGGAAUUAUUGCUGUAGUAGUGAAAUACGGAGAUGUCAACAGGAAUACCGGAGGCGGAGGCGAGUAACUGGGCCAACACUGACGCUGAGACCCGAAAGCGUGAGGAUCAAACAGGAUUAGAAACCCCAGUAGUCC
rnacentral:rRNA from 1 species